GGAAGCAUGGUGUAGUGGUUUGAGCACCGGACUGCGACUCUGGAGUCCAAGGUUCGAAUCCCAGCUCAACCA